GACGAACGCUGGCGGCAUGCCUAAUACAUGCAAGUCGAGCGGAGUUAUGAUGGAGCUUGCUCCUGAUUAACUUAGCGGCGGACGGGUGAGUAACACGUAGGCAACCUGCCCUCAAGACUGGGAUAACUACCGGAAACGGUAGCUAAUACCGGAUAAUUUCUUUCCUCUCCUGAAGAGAGAAUGAAAGGCGGAGCAAUCUGCUGCUUGGGAAUGGGCCUGCGGCGCAUUAGCUAGUUGGUGGGGUAAUGGCUCACCAAGGCGACGAUGCGUAGCCGACCUGAGAGGGUGAACGGCCACACUGGGACUGAGAUACGGCCCUU
rnacentral:rRNA from 1 species